AUUGAACGCUGGCGGCAUGCUUUACACAUGCAAGUCGAACGGUAACAGGCCGCAAGGUGCUGACGAGUGGCGAACGGGUGAGUAAUGCAUCGGAACGUGCCCAGCCGUGGGGGAUAACUACUCGUAAGAGUAGCUAAUACCGCAUACGAUCUAUGGUUGAAAGCGGGGGACCGUAAUGCCACGCGCGAUUGGAGCGGCCGAUGCUGGCUUAGGUAGUUGGUGGGGUAAAGGCUCACCAAGCCAACGAUCUGUAGCGGGUGGGAGCGGACGACCGUCGACACUGGAACUGGAACACGGCCCAUAGUCCUACGGGAGGGAGCAGUGGGGAAUGUUGGGCAAUGGGCGCAAGCCUGAUCCAGCAAUGCCACGUGCAGGAAGAAGGCCUUCGGGUUGUGAACUGCGUUUGUACGGAGCGAAACGGCUCUGGUUAAUACCCGGGGCUAAUGACGGUACCGUAAGAAUAAGCACCGGCUAACUACGUG
rnacentral:rRNA from 1 species